GUUCUAGUAUCACUGCUGUGAUUGAGGGGGAGUGAGUAGGGUCUCAUGUUUAAGAGUUCUUAGAUAGAAAUCACACGGGUAGAGAUUAGGUGAAAAGAAUGUAACUUGAAGUUGUUUGCUGAGAGUCUUUGAACUAAUUCUAUUUAUUGGAUUUCCUUCCUGGCUUGAUAGCCCCCAGCGUAGGUGUGUUUGCACCGAACUGGAUUAACAAUUGCUUGU
rnacentral:lncRNA from 1 species